rnacentral:misc_RNA from 1 species
GAUAAGAACGCAGCGAAAUGCGAUACUUGGUGUGAAUUGCAGAAUCCCGUGAACCAUCGAGUCUUUGAACGCAAGUUGCGCCUCAAGCCAUUAGGUUGAGGGCACGUCUGCCUGGGCGUCACAUAUCGUUGCCUGAUGCCAGUUUCCUCGUGAUGGGUGACUGUGCAGGGCGAAUGAUGGCUUCCCGUGAGCAUUGUUGCCUCAUGGUUGGUUGAAAAUUGAGUCCUUGGUAGGGAGCGCCGUGAUAGAUGGUGGUUGAGUGACGAACGAGACCCAAUCAUGUGAGACCCCUACCGAAUUUGGCCUUCAUGACCCACAUGCGUCUUUGGAACGCUCAUGACGAGACCUCAUGUCAGGCGGGGCUACCCGCUGAGUUUAAGCAUAUCAAUAAGCGGAGGA